UACGUAGGGUGCGAGCGUUAAUCGGAAUUACUGGGCGUAAAGCGUGCGCAGGCGGUUUUGUAAGCCAGAUGUGAAAUCCCCGGGCUUAACCUGGGAAUGGCGUUUGGGACUGCAAGGCUGGAGUGUGGCAGAGGAGACUGGAAUUCCUGGUGUAGCAGUGAAAUGCGUAGAUAUCAGGAGGAAUACCGAUGGCGAAGGCAGGUCUCUGGGCUGACACUGACGCUCAUGCACGAAAGCGUGGGGAGCAAACAGG
rnacentral:rRNA from 1 species